GACGAACGCUGGCGGCGUGCCUAAUACAUGCAAGUCGAACGCAGUGGGGACGGGUGAGUAACACGUGGUUUACCUCCCCAUCAGAGUGGAUAACACUUGGAAACAGCUGCUAAACCGAUACUGCUGGAUGGACCCGCGGUGCAUUAGCGAGUUGGGGAGGUAACGGCUCACCAAGGCCACGAUGCAUAGCCGACCUGAGAGGGUGAUCGGCCACACUGGGACUGAGACACGGCCCAGACUCCUACGGGAGGCAGCAGUAGGGAAUCUUCGGCAAUGGGCGAAAGUCUGACCGAGCAACGCCGCGUGAGUGAAGAAGGUUUUCGGAUCGUAAAACUCUGUUAUUAGAGAAGCGGUAUCUAACCAGAAAGCAACGGCUAACUACGUGCCAGCAGCCGCGGUAAUUC
rnacentral:rRNA from 1 species